rnacentral:rRNA from 1 species
CGGAAUCACUGGGCGUAAAGGGCGCGUAGGCGGCCGAUUAAGUCGGGGGUGAAGGCCUGUGGCUCAACCACAGAAUUGCCUUCGAUACUGGUUGGCUUGAGACCGGAAGAGGACAGCGGAACUGCGAGUGUAGAGGUGAAAUUCGUAGAUAUUCGCAAGAACACCAGCGGCGAAGGCGGCUGUCUGGUCCGGUUCUGACGCUGAGGCGCGAAGGCGUGGGGAGCAAACAGGAUUAGAUACCCUGGUAGUUCACGCCGUAAACGAUGAAUGCCAGCCGUUGGCCUGCUUGCAGGUCAGUGGCGCCGCUAACGCAUUAAGCAUUCCGCCUGGGGAG